UGAUGUGUGGUUCAGUGGUACAGCAUUUGCUUCAGGUGCAGAAGGUCCCAGGUUCUAUCCCCGGCAUUUCUAA
rnacentral:tRNA from 1 species